UAAAGACUAGAACAAAAGAUUAAAUAUUUUAAUCUAUUUAUUUAUUUUACUUUAUUAAACUUUUUCUAAAUGUUAUAAAACAUUUAUUCUAUAGAAAGACGACAAGACCCUAUUGAACUUAACUUAAGUUUAACUGGGGAAGUUAAUUAAUUAUAAUUUUAAUUAAUAUUAAUAAUUAAAAAUCUAAUAUUAUUAAUUAAUUCAGUUACCAUAGGGAUAACAGCGCAAUUAAACUUUAAAGUCCUUAUUUAAAGAAUAGAUUACGACCUCGAUGUUGAAUUAAUAUCCUACUUCAAGCAAAUUUAAAACAAGGAAGUCUGUUCGACUUACAAUAAAUUACAUGAUUUGAGUUCAGACCGGUGUAAGCCAGGUCGGUUUCUAUCUUCUAUAAACUUUUAUAUAGUACGAAAGGACCUAUAACUAUAAUUUAAUUAUAUUAAAUUGGCAGAUUAAUGCAUUAGAAUUAGAAUCUAAAUAAUCUUUAA
rnacentral:rRNA from 1 species